rnacentral:lncRNA from 1 species
UUUCCCUCUGAACUACCUGAAAAGAAUCAAUACCCACUGGAUGAGUCAUCACAGCCCAGGCUUCUUCCACAAACACAGCUGGGGAGGGCUGCUUAAUGCAGUGUCCAUUAAGGUUAACGGGCACUUCCAAUAGGGUUUUUUCACGUUUCCCUUGACCAAGUUCAACUCACACUUCAUCCAGACAGCACUUCUCCUUCCUGCCGCCAUGUGAAGAAAGAUGUGCUUGCUUCCCCUUCUGCUAUGAUCAUAAGUUUCUUGAGGCCUCCCCAGCCCUGCAGAACAUCUCACUCUGUUGCCCAGCCUGGAUUGCAGUGACAUGAUCACAGCUCACUACAACCUCAACCUCCCUGGGAUCAAGCUAUCCUCCCAUCUUAGCUUCCCAAGUCAUUGGGACUACAGGGAAUGUGCCGCUGUGCCCAGCCAAACUGGAUCUUCAGUAUGUUUAUGUAACUUUCCGGGAGCAGAGUGUUUUCAGCUUUGGAGCUUCAAUCGAACUUUUGAGACAAGAAGAGGAAAGACAAGAAAAGUGUCUUCUUCACAAUUUUAUUAUUUUGGUGUCAAAGAUUCCAGUUGAUUAUCCCUUUCUAUCUCCAAAGUCUGGCAAACCCUACUUACCUCCCCAACUGCUUUCGAAAGCAUAAACAAAAUAAAAUAACAUCAUCAAAGAUUCCAGAAGAUUGGGAAAGGUGUGGAAGGUAGUGAUUAAAGUAUAGUUGUAAGGGCCCUUUGACAUCAAUUUUAUUCUCUCAGGGGGCUUAAAGUGUUUCUUUUCUGCUUCCUUUACUACAAAGAUAUUUCACUCAAACUCUAUCUUGUUAUAGACUCUUGAAAACUGGGGAUAUGGUUUCUAGCCUUGUAAUUUGUGUAAUAAAAUGUCAGUCAUAAAAACCACUGGGAAUCUGGGACAUUUGUAAUGAUUGGGCUGUCGUUAAAAUACAUGAUUGCUCAAAGGUAUGGCUUAACCCAGGAAAACACAAACCACAAUAAAAGGUCACAUGGAAGAUACAGGCAUGGGCAGGCAUCACUUGGUGGCAAGCAACAGAAAUCCCUUAAGAAAGCGCGAGUGAAAAGCAAUUUAUUUCAGGGGACUCUGAUGGUAUUUUGAAGAAGGUAUAACUCCUGGAACUGGAAAGCUUUGAGAUACUUAUCUCUCUCUCUCUCUCUGUCUCUGCCUCUCUCUUUCUCUCUGCCUCUCUCUGUCUCUCUCCCUCACGAAUCUCCCAUAGUAUUGGGUGUAAUCUUCACCUAUUCCAAAAUGUAGUAAGCACCUUAGUUUACAUGGCUUUCCAAGUCUUGCACCUGUGGCUAAAUAACUACAGUGUUGGUGUCUGAAUUCAACUUCCUGUGAAGGAGACCCUUGAGUGCCUACCCUUCAUCAGGUGUUCAUCAGUAGGAUGGGGGAAGGGUCCCAUGGCUCCCGAUGUCUUUAACAGGACUCUGGGCAUGGAUUUGGGCAGUUAAUUAGACAGAGCAGCUAAAUCAAGUGACAUAUUUUCCUUUAAUUGCUCCUAACUAGAAUAAGAGGAUGAUUUGUGUCCUGAUUUUUAUGAACUUUUGCAUUCUUUCUCAAGUUCUAAAUUCAUUGAGUAAAUCCUUCAGAACAUUUGACCUUGUAUUAUGGGUUUUGUGGUUUAAAUUUCCCAUGAAGUUAAUUAUACCAUGGACAGUAUUGGGGUGAAAGUAUAGUCCCUAAGAUCAUGUUUAAAAUGUUUUGUCUCAGAAUUUUAAUACCCCUUUUGGCCUGUAAACACUUUGUAGCACCAUGAUAAGCAAAGACAGUAUUUGAUGCAGGUCAGUUUUAAGUGGGAGAAGGAGGAGUCUCUUUAAUUUAGAGAGGCUUAAUAAAGGACAUUUCACUGAACAAUUGGUUAUAACAAUUGAGUUUUCUAGAGGUUUUUUUUUUUUUGGCCUUCCCUCAAGUUGUGUUGUGUACUGUGCAAGAAUACGAAUAGGCAAGAGCGAGUGGAGACGGCCUGUAAUAGGCUUCCAGUUAAGCUCUUAAUUUACGCUGGUUGUCUUUAUCGGCCAACGCUCCCACGUCGUUAUCUGUGAGAGAAUGGAGAAGAAAAAAUGGCAUUCUAUUUUUUGCACCCUCUUCUCCUUGUGAUCUUACAUCUUCACUUAAAAGCAAUCAGGUGCGCAGGUGAAGAGAUAGGAAAAAAAGGGCUUUUAAUAGCUUUUGAUAUCAAGAUUCCAUCUUCCUCCUUAACGGCUAGCCCACACUUCUGUGAUGUCUGGUGAUGUUUUCAGUUCCACCUUUUGUGUUUUAAGAAUUGCACUUUUAAAAUUAAAAAUGCCUUAAGGAAGGACAGCAGGGUAUCUGGAGGUGGCGUAAAUAGAGAUGAAUGCUCUUCAAAAUCCACCUGA